rnacentral:misc_RNA from 1 species
AUAGAAUCCAGCAACCAUGGCUAGCAUUACAAUGGUGCAAGUGUAGGAGUUAUUGAUAGGUAUCCCUUCAGGAGUCUGUUGAAUCAUCCAUUGAAAUGCAGGCAUGGAGAUGAAUAUGAUAGCAAGCAAUAAGGCAAGGAUUCCUAAAGCAUCUGUAAGCAAUUUAUCCUGUAGCCCAACCACGGUGGAAGUAGAUAUGAGAAAUGCCCCCCAAAAAAAUCAGCAACUAAUGCUGAUGAAAGGCCUAGUCGACCAAGUUCUGAAUUUGUGAUUUUGAGUUGUUCAAUGAUGUAGGAAUGACAGGGAAGUGAGUGGCAGAUUGGAAAUUGAGUCACACGAAAACUUAUUAUUGAGUUUUCUUGGUUUCCUGUAUCAUCUUUUACAGCUGCUCUGUAAGCUAAACCAGAUAUAAAUGGCAACAGUACUAU